CAGAUAAAAUGGUUAAAUGUUUAUAAACUGCUUUUUGUAGUUGAACUGUAGAUCAGAAAACAUUCUUCGACAAACCUCCUCUGGAAAAAGCAGAUGAUGUCAUGUUUUGCCAAGUCCUUCCUUUCAAGUACUUUUGUCAGAAAUGGGACUACCUGUUCAUCCAGCUCCGCUUCGUGUAUGUCCUCCAAAAGUAACACCUUCAGUGGUUGUCACCAUGCUGCUCUUCUCAGCCUGGCCCCGGGGACACGCUGUCUGUAUGCUGGGUCACAGUGGCACCAGUGCCUGCUUUCAGGAGAAGCCUUGCGGUCAGACAAGCAGUGCCUGAAUUCACAUUACAUUUCACUGCAGGACAGUCACAUUGGGCUCUCCUACAGUGCCGAAAGGGCACCUGCUGCCUCUUCAUAAAGUCCUGUCCCACUGCAUCUUUUACUGCUGUAUUUGCAAGGUUAGACAGCUUGGGAUAUACUUGCUCGUGCUGCAAUUGUAACUGAGCACUACAUGCACAUCAUAAAGCACUCCUUGCACUGCUUGGGUUGGAGAAAAAGGGGACUUCAAGCUGCCUAUGGUACAGGCUGACUGAGGGAACAUCAAAAGCACCCUCCUUUGAUUCCUGAUCCCAAACUGAACUGUUAGUUGGGGUUUUUUUCAUGGGAGUGAGGAGAUCAGGGAACCAAAAAACAAUCUACCUCACAACUCAAGUGAACCAGUUCUCUUGUCAUCUUUCAGAGACUGACAAGAUUUUACUUAAGUUUCUGUUGGAAGCCAAACAAUCGUUAGCCAGAUGGUAAGCUACUAAAGAACCAGAAGAUAAGGGCCACUCUCUUCACUUCCUCUCAAAAUCCAUUAGCAUCAACCUCAAUCAAUUAUCUUGUGUUGAACUGUCCUCAAGCCAAAUGACUUACCCAGUUCUUGCACAUCUUCUCUCCCCAGCAGCAGCUUUGUUUUCCAUCUACUACUCCUCACCCUCCUCUCCUUCAGGGGUCCCGGAAACAUCUGCACCAUUAGCAACCACUUUGGCUUCAAACUCCUUUUUCAAAAGGCACCGCGACAUGACAACGUUUUAGGAAACAGAUCUUCUGUUUCCAUGCAGGUUACCAAGAUCUAUAAAGCUGCAACCAUCCGAAUGAGUGGAAGAGAUACUGAAUGCACCGUGCUGUCCCUGGGGGUUA
rnacentral:lncRNA from 1 species